rnacentral:rRNA from 1 species
AGUGGGGAAUAUUGGACAAUGGGCCACAAGCCUGAUCCAGCAAUUCUGUGUGCACGAUGAAGGUCUUCGGAUUGUAAAGUGCUUUCAGUUGGGAAGAAGAAAGUGACGGUACCAACAGAAGAAGCGACGGCUAAAUACGUGCCAGCAGCCGCAGUAAUACGUAUGUCGCAAGCGUUAUCCGGAUUUAUUGGGCGUAAAGCGCGUCUAGGCGGAAAAAUAAGUCUGAUGUUAAAAUGCGGGGCUCAACUCCGUAUUGCGUUGGAAACUGUUUUUCUAGAGUACUGGAGAGGUGGGCGGAACUACAAGUGUAGAGGUGAAAUUCGUAGAUAUUUGUAGGAAUGCCGAUGGAGAAGUCAGCUCACUGGACAGAUACUGACGCUAAAGCGCGAAAGCGUGGGGAGCAAA